CGCUAGGAUCCCUUCGGGGUGACUUUGAUGCUGACGAGCGGCGGACGGGUGAGUAACGCGUAGGAAUCUACCCAGUAGCGGGGGAUAGCCCGGGGAAACUCGGAUUAAUACCGCAUACGCCCUAAGGGGGAAAGGGGGGGAACUCUUCGGAGACCUCUCACUAUUGGAGGAGCCUGCGUUGGAUUAGCUAGUUGGUAGGGUAAAAGCCUACCAAGGCCACGAUCCAUAGCUGUUCUGAGAGGAAGAUCAGCCACACUGGAACUGAGACACGGUCCAGACUCCUACGGGAGGCAGCAGUAGGGAAUAUUGUGCAAUGGGGGAAACCCUGACACAGCCAUGCCGCGUGUGUGAAGAAGGCCCUAGGGUUGUAAAGCACUUUCAGUAGGGAGGAUAAGGUUGGAUUAAUAAUCCGAUUCUAAGACGUUACCUACAGAAGAAGAUCCGGCUAACUCCGUGCCAGCAGCCGCGGUAAUACGGAGGGAUCAAACGUUAAUCGGAAUUACUGGGCGUAAAGCGCGCGUAGGUGGUUACUUAAGUGGGAUGUGAAAGCCCCGGGCUUAACCUGGGAACUGCAUUCCAAACUGGGCGACUAGAGUACGAUAGAGGGGGGUAGAAUUCAGAGUGUAGCGGUGAAAUGCGUAGAUAUUCUGAGGAAUACCGGUGGCGAAGGCGGCCCCCUGGAUUGAUACUGACACUGAGGUGCGAAAGCGUGGGGAGCAAACAGGAUUAGAUACCCCGGUAGUCCUAGCCGUAAACGAUGGGCACUAAGUAGAGGGGAUUACCGAUGUUCUCUCUGCCGUAGCUAACGCAUUAAGUGCCCCGCCUGGGGAGUACGGCCGCAAGGCUAAAACUCAAAAGAAUUGACGGGGGCUCGCACAAGCGGUGGAGCAUGUGGCUUAAUUCGAUGCAACGCGAAGAACCUUACCGGGGCUUGACAUGGUAGAAGUAGGAACCCGAAAGGGUAACGAACGGUAUCCAGUCCGUGACUAUCACAGGUGUUGCAUGGCUGUCGUCAGCUCGUGUCGUGAGACGUUGGGUUAAGUCCCCUAACGAGCGAAACCCUUGUUUUUAGUUACCAGCGGGUUGUGCCGGGUACUCUAGAAAGACUGCCGUCGUCAAGACGGAGGAAGGUGGGGAUGACGUCAAGUCAUCAUGGCCCUUAUGCCCCGGGCUGCACACGUGCUACAAUGGUCGGUACAAACGGAAGCGAAGCCGAGAGGUGGAGCGAAUCCUAAAAAGCCGAUCUCAGUUCGGAUUGGAGGCUGA
rnacentral:rRNA from 1 species